rnacentral:rRNA from 1 species
ACUGCUUUUGGAGUUCGAUUAAGUCAUGCAAGUCAGAACGCAAGUUCGGCAAACGGCUCAGUAACACGUGGGUAACCUGCCCUAUGGUCUGGCAUAACCUUGGGAAACUGAGGGUAAAACCAGAUAGAGUACACCUACUGGAAUGUGGUUUACUUGAAAGGCAACGCCAUAGGAUGGGCCUGCGGCAGAUUAGGUUGUUGGUGAGGUAAUGGCUCACCAAGCCUGUGAUUUGUACGGGCAAUGAAAGUUGGAGCCCGGAGAAGGGGACUGAGACAAGGCCCCUAGCCCUACGGGGUGCAGCAGACGCGAAACCUUUACAAUGCGCGAAAGCGUGAUAAGGGGACUCCAAGUGCCGAUGGGAAACCACCGGCUUUUGUCAAGUGUAAACAGCUUGAUGAAUAAGGACUGGGUAAGACCCGUGCCAGCCGCCGCGGUAAUACGGGCAGUUCAAGUGGUAUCCGCGUAUAUUGGGCUUAAAGCGUCCGUAGCUGGUUCAGCAAGUUUCUAGUGAAAGCUCGCAGCUUAACUGAUGAGAGUUGCUAGAAAUACUGUUGGACUUGGAGGCGGGAGAGGUAAGAGGUACUUUUGGGGUAGCGGUUAAAUGUGUUAAUCCUGAAAGGACCACCGGUAGCGAAGGCGUCUUACUAGAACGCACUCGACAGUGAGGGACGAAGGCUAGGGGAGCAACCCGGAUUAGAUAUUAUGAAGAAUUAGAAAUUCCUCAAAUUUUUAGUUCUUCAAACUAAAAACCCGGUUAGUCCUAGCAGUAAAUUAUGCAGACUAGGUGUCCCGUAACCUACGUGGUUAUGGGGUGCCGAAGGGAAACCGUUAAGUCUGCCGCCUGGGGAGUACGGUCGCAAGACUGAAACUUAAAGGAAUUGGCGGGAGAGCACCACAAGGGGUGGAGGCUGCGGUUUAAUUGGAUACAACGCCGGACAUCUUACCGGAGGAGACGGCAGUAUGAAGGUCAGUCUGAAGGGCUUACCUGACUCGUCGAGAGGUGGUGCAUGGCCAUCGUCAGCUCGUGCUGUGAAGUGUCCUGUUAAGUCAGGUAACGAGCGAGACCCACACUCUUAGUUGCCAACCUUUUCAUUACGAGAAGGCGCACUCUAAGAGGACUGCAAGUGCUAAACUUGAGGAAGGUGUGGGCGACGGUAGGUCUGUAUGCCCCGAAUCUUCCGGGCUACACGUGGCCUACAUUGGUAAGUACAACGAGAUGCAACUCCGAAAGGAGAAGCUAAUCUCUUAAAACUUAUCUAAGUCUGGAUCGAGGGUUGAAACUCACCCUCGUGAAAAUGGAAUCCCUAGUAAUCGCGGAUCACUAUUCCGCGGUGAAUAUGUCCCUGCUCUUUGCACACACCGCCUGCCAAGCCACUCAAGCGGGGCUUUGGCGAGACCAUGUCUUUUUGGCGUGGUCGAACCUAGGUUCUGUGAG